AGCACGAAAACCUGUAAGUCGCUUUGGUUAAAAGUGUCUGCUAAAUGGCAGAUA
rfam:Salmo salar isolate Sally breed double haploid chromosome ssa14, whole genome shotgun sequence.